UGGUUGAAGAGGGGAAAAUAAAAUAUGUUGGUCUCUCAGAGGCCUCUGCUUCAACAAUCCGAAGGGCUCAUGCCGUUCAUCCAUUAACUGCUGUUCAGAUGGAGUGGUCCUUGUGGUCAAGAGAUUUAGAAAAAGAAAUAAUUCCUACCUGCAGGUAAGGAGUCUUCUGUAUUUGUCAGUAAUCUUAUAACUUCUACAAGAUAAUUAUGUGUUGUUUUCGUCUGUCUUAUUAUUAGGGAACUUGGUAUUGGAAUCGUCCCAUACAGUCCACUGGGACGGGGUUUCUUCUCAGCAGGUCCCAAGUUGAUUGAGAACUUGUCCGAGGGUGACCAUCGUAAGGUUGGUCAAUAUUCAUUCCUGUGUAAUCUUCUUGGUAUUCAUUUGUGCUGAAUACUUAAUAAUUUCAUGUUCUUGCAUUGGGUUUACAUUUAAGUACUGCAAGCAUCUUUUUGCUCGUUUGGCAAGGUUUAUGAUUGCUUAUAUGCCGUCAAAUUCUAUUUUCCAUCAUUUUACCCAUUUUUUAUCCACAUUUUUCGUACGACCCACAACUGUGUGAUCUAAUAAACAAUCACGCUAGAUGUGCACUCUCUCUUAUACCUUCUUUUAAACUCCCUCAUAUUGUAUAUAACAUCUACACUCUUGAUUUUGAACUCAUCCAUCACAUCACUGUACAGAUUUCCUCCACAUAGGAGGGAAUGUUUUCCAAGUGGUAAUGAAGGCCGUAUAUAUAGCAUUAUUCUCUAAUAAAAGCUUUGGCAACCAUGCUAUUUAUUACUCCCUAAAAUAAAAUUUUCAAAACCAUAGAGCUUAGAAAAUUUGUCAUGGCAACAUUAAUGUUAAGGUUCGAGAAAUGCUGUCCUCCUUUUUAUUAAUAAUUACCUUUAAGAUAGACAGUGUAGCCUUUUAUGCUGAAAGGGCACCUUUUAUUCUCUAUUUAUGGUCACGAACCAAGUUUCCAUCCGAGAAGACUGUCCGCCUGAAAACAAAACUUAAAAAUAAUGUUGAUUUGUUCUUUCUUUAUAAAUUAAAGUGGAAUUGCUUAGUAUAUAUUGACAAAUUCAAAUGCAUAGGCGGAUACAUUAAUGAAUUCAGAUAGUGAAUCUGUCAAUAGUUUUGAGGACCUCGGCCUUCUUUUUCCAACCAGUUUUUGAUACUGCAUGAAUUAAUAUCCUUAUGUUGCAUUUGCGGAUCACUUUGAAAUUUAUAAGUUCUCCAGUCUUAAGGGUGAAAUCCCACAUUGGUUACAUAUAAAAAUACUAAUUGAUGUAUGCUACUACUCUUAGUGUUUGUUCGGGAGUGCUUAAAUUUUACAGUUCCCACAAAUUAUGUGAAUAAAAAGCGUGUUUGGAAAUAUGAUUUAAGCUCUGCCAAACAUGCACUUAAUUAGGUUGACAUUUUAAGAUGGAACCUCAAGACUCGAUAUAGUGUCAAAACCCAUUUACCUCAAACAAGCAAUUCAGUACUUCUGAAACUCAAACGAGCAUUUGGAUUCCACAAUUGGUGUACUCAAAUGAGUCUCCGUCUUGCCUGGGACAUGUUAAGGGUAGAAUCCCACAUGGUUAAGUAUAAAAAUGCUAGCCAAACAUAUGAAGGCAAGACCCAAUAUCUAGUACAAUACAAUACAUUAUGUACUCUCUACGUGUCUCUCUCCCCCUCAUACACACAAACAAAAGAAAAGCAAGGUUUUGGGCUCACAUAUAUCUGCAAUGAAUAAGAUUGAACUUUUGUUAAUAUAUAUUUGCAAUGUGUAAAGUUUCGGUCUCAACACAUAUUUAUAACGUUUACAUGCUGAUGAAAAUUGUUCGACUUUUGUAGAAAUUUCCGAGGUUCCAACCAGAAAAUCUUGAAGCUAACAAACUAGUAUUUGAAAGGGUCAGUGAAAUGGCUGCAAGCAAAGGUUGCACCCCGUCCCAACUAGCAUUGGCUUGGGUUCAUCACCAAGGAGAUGAUGUUUGUCCCAUACCCGGUACCACUAAGAUCGAGAACUUGAACCUGAAUAUUCAAGCUUUAUCUGUGAAAUUGACACCCCAAGAGAUGGCUGAACUUGAAUCCUUUGCUUCUGCCGACAUGGUUAAGGGCGAUAGACAUGCUUACAUGGCAAACACAUGGUUA
rnacentral:lncRNA from 1 species